GGUCACAGAGCUAGGAAAUUCCACAUCUGGGCUGUGAGCCAAGACAAUCUGGUUCCAACCCUGUCCUCCGAAUGCAGCACUAAACUGCAGAGAGAGCACAGGGAGAGCAGAUGAGGACCACAUCACAGAAAUCAGGGAAAGAAAAGGAAAAUCAUUUAAGUAAAACAUCUUGGAUAGCACUGAAAGGGAAAUACAGCAUCCAGGUCUUUUAGAUACUGACUUCUAUUUUUUUCUUCAAAUGGAAAAUUAGAGAAGCCCACCAAGAGACUCGCUUUAGGUUAGGCACUGUGAGAAAAAAAAGAAGCAGUCAAAUUCAUCCUCAAAGGGUUAAGGACGGAAGAGCGUAUACUUGUUAUGUACCUUCUAUAUGCCUGGUUCUCUGCUAGGAGUUGAUGGCAAAGCAGUGAAUUGGACAAAUAAAAUAGAAGCCAGCAUCCACAAGGGCACAGUAGUGGCCUACUCAGCAUGAAAUGAUGAGGAUAAUAACCUUUAUGAUGACCCACCUUCACUUGGAUCAAUGAUUAGUAAGUACAUUUUUUCUUCCUUAUGAUUUUCUUAAUAACAGUUUUCCUUAGCUUACUUUAUUGUAAGAAUAUAGUACAUAAUAUAUAUACAAAACAUGUGUUAAUCGACUAUGUGAUCAGUAAGGCUUCCAAUCAGCAGUAGGGUAUUAGUAGUUGAGUUCUGGGGGAGUCAAAAGUGACAUGUUGGAUUUUCCACUGAGCAUUAGUGUU